rnacentral:rRNA from 1 species
AUACGGAGGAUCCAAGCGUUGUCCGGAUUUAUUGGGUUUAAAGGGUGCGCAGGCGGUGCGUUAAGUCAGUGGUGAAAUCUUCCGGCUCAACCGGGAAACUGCCAUUGAUACUGGCGCACUAGAGUACGGACGAGGUAGGCGGAAUUUAUGGUGUAGCGGUGAAAUGCAUAGAUACCAUAAAGAACACCGAUAGCGAAGGCAGCUUACCAGACCGUAACUGACGCUCAGGCACGAAAGCGUGGGGAGCAAACAGGAUUAGAAACCCUAGUAGUCC